GCCAUGUUGCUAAGGUGGACCUCUUCUUUAAAUUUAGUUUAAAAAACUGAAUUAUCAAUAUUUUGUUGCUCCACUAUAAGAUUCACAUUUUUACAAUCACUUUAAGUCUAUAAUUAUUUUUCUUUUGAGGAUUAAGGCUUGGACUUGAUCAUAUAUAAUAUUGAAAUUGACAACUAAUCAUAAUUUUUAUCUAUUUCUAUAUAUUUUUAGAGGAAAAGUCCAUCUUUCAAGUACCUUAGAGUGGAGCCAUUCAUUCAAAUAAUGACACAGCUUCAUUUUCCUACACAUUCUAAUCUCCUCUUUAUAACCUUUCUAUCCUCAAUGAUUUAACAACAAUAUUGACUAAUUGAAAUUUAAUGUCGAUAUGAUUCAAACUAAUACCAUUUAUGUUAACAUAAGCUUAAAUAAAAUGAUGUUUAGU
rnacentral:lncRNA from 1 species